AGCCGGCCAAUUUGUGUUUGCAUUCAAAAUUCGGCCAGCACUAUCUCCCCUUUUCCUUCUUAUACAAGCCAUGCCUCCCACCUACCCCAAUCCAUAAAUGGGCAGCCUCCCAACCAACUCAAUCAAUGAGGAGGCUACCUCCCAACCAACUCAAUCAAUGAGGAGGCAGCCAACCCACCCCCUCUCCCUCUAUAUAAAGGGGCUUGGCAGCCCACUCCCUCCACACUUGCUCUCAUUUCCCACUCUCCACUCCUCUCCACUCCUCUCCACUCCUCUCAUUUGCCUCAUUUCUUUUCACUCCCUACUAUUUCCUCCACUCCCUCACACUCUCCUCCUCCACUUCCCCACGAAAAUGGUGCUCCCCUUGCUCCCAUGGCCGGCCAUAGCCAUGGCAAGCCACCAAGAUGAAGCUCUCCCCCUCCCUCAAGCUCAUCCUCACCAUGAGAGCCUCCCUCUCCUUCUUCUCCCUAACCUUAGAUGGUUUAAUCUCCUCUUCUUCUCCCUCCAUUGAUAAGAUUGGAUCUUGAUGCAGGUGCAUGUUGGUCCAAGCAUGGAGAAGGUUGAGCUAUCCUCAGAUCUGAAGUUCUUGAGCAAAAUCCAAAUCGAGUGGUUCAAAGUUCUGCAGAUAGUUACUGAAAAUAUCUACAACUUGGCGGGAUAUUUGGUUAUACCCUGGUGAUAAACGAGAGAGGCAAUUGCUAAGUUGUGAUGCACUCAUACCUUUACUAGAUGCGAACAAUUCUGGAGAAGAAGAAGUGGAAUCGGACGAGGAUUUUAUUUAUAUAUGUUGUUGGAAUUCUUAUAUUGAUGGAGUCGAAGAAGUACAGGGACAAAUAAGCCAA